rnacentral:rRNA from 1 species
UACGUAGGGUGCGAGCGUUGUCCGGAAUUAUUGGGCGUAAAGAGCUUGUAGGCGGUUUGUCGCGUCUGCCGUGAAAAUCCGGGGCUCAACCCCGGACUUGCGGUGGGUACGGGCAGACUAGAGUGUGGUAGGGGAGACUGGAAUUCCUGGUGUAGCGGUGAAAUGCGCAGAUAUCAGGAGGAACACCGGUGGCGAAGGCGGCCACCUGGGCCGACCCUGACGCUGAGGCGCGAAGGCGUGGGGAGCGAACGGG